GAUGAACGCUGGCGGUGUGCCUAAUACAUGCAAGUCGAGCGAACGCACGAGAAGCUCGUUUUCCUGCUGUUAGCGGCGGGCGGGCGAGUAACACGUGGAUAACCUACCUAUAUGACUGGGAUAACUUCGGGAAACCGCUGCUAAUACCGGCUCAUAUUUCGAACCGCAUGGAUCAAAAGUUAAUCACGGUUUUCCUGCUACUUAUAGAUGGUUCCGAGCUGCAUGAGCUAGUUGGUAAGGUAACGGCUUACCAAGGAAACGAUGCGUAGCCGACCUGAGAGGGUGAGCAGCCACACUGGAACUGAGACACGGUCCAGACUCCUACGGGAGGCAGCAGUAGGGAAUCUUCCACAAUGGGCGAAAGCCUGACGCAGCAACGCCGCGUGAGUGAUGAAGGUCUUCGGGUCGUAAAGCUCUGUUAUUAGGUAAGAACAGAUGUGUAUGUAACUGUGGACGUCUUGACGGUACCUAAUCAGAAAGCCACGGCUAACUCCGUG
rnacentral:rRNA from 1 species